CAGAAAAUCGUCUUAACCUGUGUAAAACAAAAUACUUGACUAAUAAAGAUUUAUGUCUGUUUUUCUGUUUUGUCUGUGAAAAUACACAAACAUGAGAAAAAGCACAGCCUAUAUAUUUGCUUAGUUAACGGCAUGUAGCUUAGCAUCAAAACAGAACAGACUUGAACAUAUGAAAACGUACACUCCAGUUAGGGCUGGACAAUAAUUCGAUAAAAAUUAGAGAUGAAACGGUGUGAAAAUAUCAGAUCACGGUUAUAGUGAUCAGCACAAUCACGGUUACCAUAUUAUCACGGUUUUAUUAUCAUGUUCUGGAGAUGUCAAAAAAGUACUGAUGUAAACCAAAUUUAAUAUUGAGUUUACCUGUAAAUGUACUUUUGUUUGAUUUACAUCAAAUAAAUAACAUUAAUAUUAGUCAUGUCACGUUGGGGGCAUAAGGUAAAAGUUUCCUAGUUCAGAUUAAACAACCUUAAGUGAGUAAAUCAGAUUUUCAUAUAAACACAACACAAUUCAGCAAAUCAUCUGUCUACGUAUGUUUUGAGAAAUGGGUGUACUUUAUGACCCAGGAGAAAGCGGCAUGACAUCUACUGCGCUCAUAACAGAACAAGCUGAACGGAGUUUCAAACUCAUCAUAUCACAUCAUUUAAUGAAAAAUGUAUAAAGAAAUAUGAAGUAAACAUGCGAGUAUAUCUAAAUAUCCACGUUUUUGGAUUAAAUUCCUAAUUAGUGAAGCACUGCCAUCACAAACUCACAUGAGCAGACGUGAAUAAAUAGGUGCCUCUCGCGUUAUUUUGUUCCAAAUGUCAAUACUCCUGAUUUACUCUCCUGACAUUAAUGAACAAAAUCCUUGUUUCAAGUUGCAUCUACGCUAUACUCUUGAUAACUUUGUUUGAUGCUGGACAUGUUUUUUCAAGCCGUAACAAUGGUACAGUUUAAUCAAUGGUUAUUAAAAUAUGACGCGGUAAUAAUAACCGUUGGACGUUAUUAUCAUGGUAAACCAUUAAACCUGUAAUCGUUACAUCCCUAAUAACAAUAGACCCUUUUACGGCCGAACGUCACGCUUACGUCAUUAGCUGGAGUCAAAACAAAGGGAAAACUGGAGGCGGCCAAAACAAUCCAGCAGAGAUUCGGCUACAUAAGGAGUUUAAAAUAUCAUCUUGUUGUGUUGUUUAGUGCGAAGCCCGUCUGGUCACCCGUCGGAGAAAAGAAAACAAGACCCGCAAAUCCGUGGCCACAGUUGUGUAAUUCGUUCUCUCUCUUUUAAAAACCGUACUCACAGAUUCUAAAACUGAGCACUUUUCCACCAUCGCGCAGAAUCGUUCUCAUUGCUUAAUCGUUCCAACACCGUGCCGAUCCAUGCCAGCCGUACCGGUUUCAUUUUUUAUUUGUACCAGUAAAUGGUUUCAUUUUCCACCGCAGGGCUGAUAAUGAAAAUGCAUUCAUUAGCACGAUUCAGCACGGUUAUACACUGUAAAACAUUAUAGCAUCAUUAAGUUAUGUCUACUAACAAUUUCUAUUUAAUUCCAAUAAUCAUGACAAGUUUUAUAUAUUAAACUUAAGUUUAUACAUUUUUAAAAACUCAGACUUAAAUUUACAAGUUGUCUGAACUACUUAUGAGUUGUCUCUGGGUAGUCAACAUUCAUUCAACUCACUUCUGUAAGUUAUAAAUUAGAAGGAGGGGGAGGGGUGUUUGUUUUCUAAAAGACGCGGAAAAAGUUCAUUUACCUCAGGCGCCUACGGUGUGACAUACUGCUGCUCAGCAGCUGAAUUGUCAUUAAUACAUGUUAUAUACGGCAGCGAAGAGGUAAGUUAUUAUUUUUGUCUUGGUUCAAUGGUGUUAUGCUUUAUUAUAUAUAUAAAAUAUUUUUAUAAUAAUUUUUAUAAUGUUAAAAGAAAGUUUAGCACGUUGACGAUGCUCUGCGAGUGCGACGGCGUCACGGCCUGAAAACCUAAUCGACGGGUCUAUAUCGGACAAUGUAGUUAGUGAGGGCAUAUAUAGAUUUUAAAUGCAUAGUAACGUUAUGGCAUAGUUUGCAUUAAAUAAAUAUUUUGAUUUUCAGUGCGUGUCAGGGAACGUAAGCUAGCUGGCUGCACUAUCAAGGCUAACGUUAAAUAUUCAGGGGCAUGCACGUCUAUUUUUAUAUAUCAAAGUAAGUAAAUGGGUUAUGUAGUGUAGUUUUUAUGGGGCUCUCAGUUGUACACACAGGUGGACUAACGUUACCAUAUUUUGGGAAAGUAACGUUACUCGAGAUCUGUUUGGUGGAUGGAAACAUUUUUAUUAUCAAACUGUUCAGUGUUCACAGCUGGCUUCUUGGAGCAUCAAAGGUGUUAUGAGCUUAUCAAAAGAGACCCCGCGGUAACUGUGGUGGUGCAACUACAUCCCCCUGGUUGCAUAAAGUUACCCUGUUGAAGGAAAGCUGCUGGACACCUCGAGGACGUUCACGUUACAAUAAGGUGUUAUUAAUGUACUGUUUGCCUAAUGCUAUUAUUUUAAUACAUUUGCUGUAGAUUGUGUAGUUCUUUUCUCAUUGUACAUUGUCUCCUCAUCUUUUUUUUUUCAGUCUUAUUUUGUCACUGUGCCUCUCAUUGGUUGCACACCCUGUUGAAGGAAAGCUGCUUGUCUAUCGAGGACGUUCGCGUUACAAUAAGAAAGAAAAUCAUAGGUGAUGAGCCACUCAUCUCUGUAGUCAUGGACGGGUGGCCUGCAUUAUGUGAUCAGAGACAGAUAAGUGCAAAGUUCAAUAGAAUAGUCACUACAGGUUUGCUGCAGUCCAGCCGUGGUGGUGGAGGAGACGAUUGUUCUUUAUAACUUCAGAGAUGUGCUCACUGCUUUUGCUAUGCUAAUGGGAACCUACUGCCUAAACCUCCAAUAUGAAGUACUUGUUUGAAUUCCUGCAGAAGGUUGUCAUGAAGAUUAAACCUGACCACUGUUCAGCUCGGAUACACGGACUUAGAAAUAAACUGCUGAGGUAUCCUUUAUAGACUGGUGCCAAGCCUUAAAGGAAUAGUUUACUUAAAUAUGAAAAUUCUGUCAUAUUUUUCUUACUUUCAUGACAUGCUAGGUGUAUAUGAUAUCCAUUCUUUAGUGUAACAUAGUUAUUGUGACUCUUCCUUGUUUUAUAAUGCUGUUGAUGGAUAUGUGUGAGGAAUGGAAGUCAUACACACCUAGGAUGACUUGAGGGUGAACCAGUUAUAACAGAAUUUUCAUAUUUAAGUAAACUAUUCCUUUAACUGGAUGGAGAUGGUGUGCUGACUUGUAUAGGCGUGUUCUGAAAAGGACAUUUAAAUGCUGGUAUAUCUGAGAGCUUUAGUUACUUGACUUUGUUAGAUUAAUUUGUAAUUUUGCUUACUUAAAUGAAAACUGUCUGAUUGUUUUGCACUGUUGAUGUUUUGUUAGCAUUGAAUAUAUCUGUUUUUAUUGCAACUAAGAACGAUUUUACUAUGUUAAUGUUCAGCGUAAUAAAUGGACAAGUAUUGUUUGAACCAUUCAUAUGUCAAAAUUCUUUUUAUUCAUCUUACUCUUUAUCUUUCUCCCAAUUAAACAUUGAAGAACUCCAUGUAAUAUUUAAAAAUUGAUGUUUUUGAAUAUGUUUGUAUGUUGAAAUGCAUUUUCAAGCCAAUGUUAAAAUCUGCAUAACAUGCUUGUUAUAGUAAUAA